AGUGAACGCUGGCGGUAGGCUUAACACAUGCAAGUCGAACGGCAGCACAGUAAGAGCUUGCUCUUACGGGUGGCGAGUGGCGGACGGGUGAGGAAUAUAUCGGAAUCUACUUUUUCGUGGGGGAUAACGUAGGGAAACUUACGCUAAUACCGCAUACGACCUACGGGUGAAAGCAGGGGAUCUUCGGACCUUGCGCGAUUGAAUGAGCCGAUGUCGGAUUAGCUGGUUGGCGGGGUAAAGGCCCACCAAGGCGACGAUCCGUAGCUGGUCUGAGAGGAUGAUCGGCCACACUGGAACUGGGACACGGUCCAGACUCCUACGGGAGGCAGCAGUGGGGAAUAUUGGACAAUGGGCGCAAACCUGAUCCAGCCAUACCGCGUGGGUGAAGGAGGCCUUCGGGUUGUAAAGCCCUUUUGUGGGGAGAGAAAAGCAGCAGGUUAAUACCCCGCUGUUCUGACGGUACCCAAAGAAUAAGCACCGGCUAACUUCGUG
rnacentral:rRNA from 1 species